rnacentral:lncRNA from 1 species
AUUUGGAAUCAGUAACAGACUACAAUUUGUAAGUAAUCUACUCACUACCUUAGGGUAGUAAUAUGUACUCUUGGUACUAUUAUGAACCCUUUACCGUUAGAAGGUACAGAGUUGUCAGUUUGAGGGUCCUCAUCCAAUGAAUGGUACAAAUGUAGCACUUUUUUUUCUGAAGCUGUACUGUUUAAGUGUUUAGGUCUUUGUACAGAUUAAGCGUGCAUGUAGACAGACAGGUUAGCACAAUUCCCAGGCGGCUGUGAAUGGGGUCUUCAUCUCAGGUUCUGUUGCCUUCGAAGGUUGUUCAUCUGGACAAGGAGGAUGAGAUUCAGAAGAUUCCUCUCCAGCCUCCAUACUAUGACAUGGCACAGUCUGAGUCCACUGCGUUCACCGAUAAGCCGAACUCUGGGAACAAAGAGCUACCGAACCCAGCUGACUAUGUGAGCCGCCAUCUUCCGGGCAACCAGGAACAAUUUAAUGAACCUCCACCUCCUUCUGCUUACCCCCCUGUUACUUUCCUGCCCCAGAACCCUUACACCCAGCACCCUUCUAAUGCCCCCAUGUACACCUUCCAGCCAAACGCGCCACCUCCCACCCCCCGACCCCCAUUUAAUUACCCCAAAGAGCAGUCAGUCUAAACCCAUGGCCAUCCCCAUACAGGAUAGCCAUUACGCGUCACAUCUGGAGAGAACAACACUUCCUUCCUCGUUACUGUUGUCCUGUGCUGGCCACAUCAGGAUGCAGGCGGUCUCUCGGAACUAUGAAUAAAAGUGUCAGUAGUUUGUGGACCUGAAACCGUGUGUGUUGUGCACUGCAUGUUUCACUAUGAGGCUGUGGUUAGAACCCCUAGUCUUGUGCUAUAAAUAUAGAAACACUGCACCACAACUAUACCCCCUCCCUCCCUCCCUCCCCUCACAACAGCACACCUCACUUCUCCUGAACACAGGGUAUCAGCCUUCGCUCUGCCUAAACCUCUCUUAGAUCUUCCCCUCCUUUAUUUAAUUCUGCCAAGUGUCUGACCAUUGACAGUGUUUCAAGAAAUUGUCACCCAAAAAGGAAAGUUCGGUCAUUAUUUAUACACUCUCAUGUGGUUUCAAAGCGUAUGCAGAUGUUUUUUUUUUUUUUUUCUUUCAAGAGCAUAGAAGAUUAUUUUUAAUAACCUUCUCGCAACUCUUUUCCAAUAAAUGUUUCAAGGUAAUUAUGUCUGUCAGGUUCCAAAAAGGAAAAAAAAAAAUAUUUAUUGCCAUCAGAACCCUUCCAUUCCACAGAUGCUUUUUUAUUUUAUUUUUAUUUUUUUGGUGAAUUUUUAAAUGUUCUUCAUACUAAGUAAAAGUGGAUCUUUUAAGUAAUGUUCACUGAAAAGUUAUUUGGGAACCAAAAAUGGUUCUUCUGUAGCAUUGCUUUGAAAACUGAUUUUGAGGUGUAUGGAAAAGAACUGCUUAAUUAAAGUUUUCUUUUUGGUGUACCUGUUAAAACAUAACCUCAUACAGAUUUGCAAUUGCAUGUGGUCAAGUAUGUAAUGACAGAACUGUUUCUUUGUCAUUGUGUCACCUUUUUUCUUUUUUUCUUUUCUUUUUUCUUUCAGUGAGUUUUGUUUUAUCAUUUAUUACACAUUUGUAUGUUGCUCUUUUAUUCUUCAGAUUAUAUUUGCUUGCUUCUUGUUGUACAUGCUUGAGUUGAGUGACUGUUAAAAUGUAACAUUUUAUUUAUCUAUUGACAUUUUGUCAAAAUUACGACAUGGCACAACACCCCUACAGUGAUUCUGCUGAAACAGCAUUACAUGGGUAAAUAGGCAGUUCCCAUUUUUUCUCAAAGAUAUCCAAUUAGUACCAAAUAUCACUAAAAUAUUUAGUCAUUAUAAUCUAAAAAGUGAAUGUUCCCUCUGCUCUACAUGAGAAAAAAAAAUUAAAAUAAAGGGCUCUAUUUCACUCCCUCUCAUAAGAUAUCAUCCAAUACAAUGCCACAAGUGAAACGCUUCAGUUUAGAUGGCAUAAACACUUUCAUCUCAUUUUUCUUGUAGUUACCAAAGAAAUAGAGCAUACCAUAUUUUCAUCCACACAAAUGUUUACAUUUGGUAUAUUUAAAGAUUCAGAGAGAUAAACAGAUACUUUUCAAAAGGAAACUCAUUCACAUUUAAAGCGAUCCAGAUAAGCAUAACUCUCAUGUAUCAAUUUAUUUCUUUGAAAUCUUGUUAAAAGAUAACGUGUUUUAUUUCCGUUGCUGCUGAAUUCAUAAAUGUAGGUUGUCCUUGAAAAUGCAUGCGUUUCCAUACAGUUUUAUUUUCAUCAUCUCUUUUUGUUAAACCUACUAUUAAUGUUCCAUUUUGUCUCACUGGUUGGCCUACACAAAACCUUUUCAGGGACAAUCCACAACUUUCUUCCUCAUUAAGCUAUUUUUGAAAGAAAAGCAUAUGUUGAUGUAUUUUUUUAGAGAACGAUCCUAAAUAUUCGUUACCAUCUAGAACAUAUUCAGCGUCAUAUUCAGUCCUGAAUCAUUACGAAGAGCCAAUGCAAAUCACUGCUGCCCUCUUUACAACCUCAACCAGACCUCUUUAAAGAAUGAGAUCAUCUGACAAGAAUGACGCUCAUGUUGUUAAGCCAUGUCAAAUGUACAUGCUGGAAAAGAAGAAAAAAAAUGUGCUCAAUGUUUGUGGUCAAUGUAAAAGUUACAAGUGAUUAAAGAGAAACCCUUAGAGUUGUUGAGAAUUGGUUUUAAAAAUGUAUUUUGCAGUGGUUUGUGGGAUAGGUUACAAUAUGUGAAGCUAUCUACUGUGCACACCUUUAUGUCUGGCAUUGAUUUUUAUCUGUGUACUAGUGUAGCAUUAGAAUCAUCUGUUGUUCCUGGUCACAUUGCUGGAAAGAAAUACCUGUCCUCCAUGUUAUUGCUGCCACAUGUAUUAUUAUUAUUAUUAUUAUUAUUAUUAUUAUUAUUAUUAUUAUUAUUAUUAUUAUUAUUAUUAUUAUUCACUGAAAAAUGCAUCAUUUGCCACUAGUUGAUUUUUCUUUGUUGUCAUACUGCCUCAGAUAAUGUGAAAUUGUAAAUUGUUUUUCUUCUGUUCUGAAAUUGCAAUAUUAAUUUACUUUAUUUCUAUGUUCGCAGUCCUGCCGAAUUAGUUUUUUUUACAUGUGAGCUGUAGGUUGUUGUUAAUAUUUUCUAACACAUACGACGUAUACAUUAUAUCUUCAUGUAUGUAAAGGAAAAUCAUUACCCGAGUCAUCGUGAACACAUGAACUCAAUCAUUGUAUGUGUCACUGCUAGUUAUUUUUCCAUAUGUGAAGCAUUAUGACUUUUUUGUCUUUUUUUACAUGGGGAUUAUGUGUGGUGUAAAAAUUUACUCUAUGUACCAGACGUGUGAAAAAAAAAAAAAAAAUCUCAUGCAAAUGAACAUUAAAUCUCACAAAAAAAAAAAAAAAAAGUGUUUGUAUUGAAAUAUAUUUAUUGCAGUCUCUGAAACAUGAUGUGCUAAACUAAAUAUUUUUGAAAUCAAUUAGUUUCCAUAACAGCUAGUUGAAUAAUUGUCUUGAAACUAUGUUGGUUCUUUGAUCACCUGACCUUGAAAACAGCUCAAUGGAACCCAGCAACUGUUUAAAAGCAGAGCUAUUUUUAUCUUCCACAGCAUUUUAUUAUUAUUAUUAAUAAUAAAAAAUAAUAAUGCAUGCCUUAUAUUGACUUGAAAACAACAGCAGUAUUAAAAUAAAUAUGUAUUGACUGUUCUUGAAUGUCUUGUAAGGACUUCUGGUAACACUUCUGCAUAAUGAAUCUUAGAAAUUCUUUUCUGUCUUUUUUUUUUUUUUUUUUUUUUACGGUACAAUGAAAUGAGAUGUCUAAAUAAACUGAUUUACUAAAAUAAAUUAGACUUGAGAGAGAGCAUUUUAGGGUCAGGUUAUUAAGAACGCCUUAACUUGCAUCUUCUGUUAUUCUACACUGAAGCAAUGCUUGUUUUCCAGACCAGCACAUAGAUCUCAUGAUUAAAUGGAACUUGAGUGCGUCAUUAGAGAGCUGUGAUAUCUAAAUAAGCUGAACAAAGCUUAAAUGUUUGCCAAUAGCCUGGUUCCAAGCCUGUAUCUUCAAGAGUUUGUCUCCCUGACAUAAAAAAUACUGUUUAUUUGAAUAUUAAAUUGAAAAUACUUCUAAAAAUUAUAAAAUUAUAUUUUAAUAUAUUGUUCUUAUAAAUUGAAAACAGCUGAGAUAAUCACAUUGCAUCACUACAUUAAGUUAUUCUCUAGUCUCUCAACACUGGCUUAUUGUCAUGCAUGUGUUACCAGAACAGCCAAUGCUCUCCGACAAAAAUAGAUUUUCCUUCAUGGCGUCUGCUUAACCCAAAGUUCUCCUGGAAAAGAAAUAUUAUAUAUAGCUGCGUUUCCACCACAGGAACUUUACCCAGGAACUAGGGACUUUGGCCUGGUACUUGGUGUGUUUCCACCGCAGGAACCAGGAACUGGAAGUUCCGGGUAAAAAAAUGCCCCUCAGAAAGUCCCUGUUGCCGAGGUGGUACUUUUUCAAAGUUCAGGAACUUUCGGGGGCGGGACUUUGGCGCUAAACAUCCUGAUUGGUUGAGUACACGCAGCAUUGGUUGAGUUCACCAUUUAUUCAGAUCAACAUUUUUAAAAUAUCACUGUUAUUGUGUCAUGAAAUGUAAUUUUAAAAGUAUUUCAGUCGAGAAUGUAGUUGUUUAAAACUCAAAUCUGUUGUUUAUUUAUAAAGACAGCGCCUAUUUAAAAAUGUGUUUCGCCGAUCUCUGAGACGGUGAGCUCCACGCUAGAGCCCUGCGCCGGACUGUUUUCUUCAUCCCGCUCCCGCCGAAUUUCUGACCAUUACCGCCUGCUCCCUCAACGUAUGUGUUACACUCCCGCC